UACUCUCCCCUCCCUCCUUUCACCUCCCCUCCUCUCUCCCAGAGACAUGUGCACACGCUGUGCCAGCAGACAGUUUCAGCUCUGGACAACUGAUGCAGGGACAGCUGCUGUUUCUCCCUUCCCCUCCUUUUUGCUCCCCUAACUAUUCUCCUCUUUUCAUUUCUUCCCUACACUGCCUUCAUUCAUCCCCUCUGUACUUUCCCCUUGCUUUCCUCUACUUUGUCAUUCUGCCCUGCACUUUUCCUCAGGCGGAUAUAAAGGCAGGUCCUGUUGGACGGAGAGGGGCUUGUGUAAUCUCUGGCUGCACAUGAGCACCAGAGAGUUACUGCUUCAGCUGGAAAGGCACCACAACAGAGGACGUGGAAACGACUAGAGGACAAACUUUGGAAUAAGCAAAAGAAGAAGGAAUACCUCCAAGACAGGAAGGGAGGAGAAGGAAAGAGACAGAGAGAAAGAGAGAGAGAGAGAGAGAGUUUGGAGUUGGGGUGCAGGACACAGACCAUGCCGGGCUCUGCGGUGGUGCUGCUGCUGCUGUCCCUGUUGGUCCUAUCCACAGGAAGUGAUGCCAGACGAAUCAGGAAAAGAGGACUCAACCAUAAGGACUACGAGUACCCCAACCACCCCCAGUCCACACAGCACCAGAAGAAUGACCGGUGUCCGCCCCCACCCCAGAUGCUGCCAGAGCGAGCCUGCGAGGUACCAGGCUGCCGCUCGGACUCAGAGUGCGAACGCCAUAAACGCUGCUGCUACAACGGCUGCAUCUACGCCUGCCUGGAGUCUGUUCAGCCACCACCAGUGCUGGACUGGCUGGUGCAGCCUAAGCCUCGGUGGUUGGGUGGUAACGGCUGGCUGCUAGACGGCCCUGAGGAGGUUCUGCAAGCUGAGGCCUGCAGUACAACUGAGGAUGGAGACGAGCCACUCCACUGUCCCACAGGCUACGAGUGCCACAUCAUCAACCCAGGAAACCCUGCUGCAGGCAUCCCUAACCGGGGACAGUGCAUUAAGCAACGUGGGAACUCUGAUGGUCGUGGCUUGAGGCACAAAUACUUUAAGGACUACAAGGACUACUUAGGUAAGUGAGGUACCAGUUCUAACAAUGCAGUAGGCUACGAAAAACAUCAUCACAAGCACCUGGGAUGAAAUCAGCCAUGACCUCAGCCUCAGCUACGACCAUAACUCAACCUCAGACAUCAGCCCAGUCCUGUUCGAUCUGCUCUCAUCACACAUGAACCAGGAUCAGAUCUCACCUUUUUACUACCCCGACAGCUGCUACCUCCUCUUUGCAAAGCCCCGUGUUUUUUUUUUUCUUUUUCUUUUUUUUUAACAGCCUCUCCUCAGUCACGACGUUCUUUGGGACGCAAGUCUGAUGCACCUACAGCCAAAGAAAUAAGUGCUUUUUUUGUCUCUCUGUCUGAUAGCUGUGAAACGAAGGAGCAGAGGGUGUUGAUGGUGAAGCAGAUGAAGAGAGAGCAGGGUGUGCACCAAAGCUGUUUUUAUCAAAAAAUCUCAAAGGAAGUAAGGAAACCUUGCCAUUUUUAUCAUUUCUUUACAACCUGCCUAAGUACCACUCAUUCUUACUCUCAUGACGCGGACAAACUCUCUAACAUGAAGGCUGGUCAGCAGAGAAAAUCAAGACCAUAUGGCCUUAUUGCUCAUUCUGUUAAGGAUGGCUGCUCAAAUUUCCUCAAAUCUGGAAUGUUUUAUAGACAAAUAAGAGAAAAUCCAGAUGUAAUGGUUGCUUCUUUGAAUUGAAUCCAAAUGUGAAUUAAAAUUCUUCUUAAUUAUAUGAAUAAAUGCCAUAUGAGGGUGUGGAUUCUGUCAGUUUUGAUGGAUUUGGAAAAGCUGUGGGUUGGUUUCAGCCAGCAGAUGCAGACCAUGACAUCACUACCAUGAAAAACAAAAGUGAAAUAAGAUUUUUAUUUUUUUUUUAAAGUUUAUUUUAGGGGACCAGUUGAGCCUGUGAAGGAGAAAACCUUGAACAGCUUUUAAAAGCCACCUUUAAAUGAGCCCACAGAGGGCAAGUGUUUGAUCCUGACAAGAUAGAUUUUAAAUAAUUCACCAAAAUAAAUGCCUUUACUGAGGCGAGUCACGUAAGAAAUUUCUACCAGCGCUGUGCGAUUAUGCAAGUGUUUCAUAAUUUUCAUGUGUGUGUGUGUGUUUGCAUGUGUGUGAGUCAUCUGGUGACAAAUUUAGCUUAUCUGACAAACAAAAUAAUCCAGUCUGCCUAUUAAGCGAUCACACUAUCACAACCCAAUGUCGCAGUAUAUAAGCAUGAUAAUAGAAAGUGCUUUUUGCAUAGAGCAGAUAUUUAAAUUGCCAAUUAGAUCUCAUGUGUUAUUCUCAAACUUAACUUCAGUCAACUGUUCAACUCAAGUUGUGUCUCUUAUCGACUCAAAUGGUGCUCACUCUCAUUGCUGCCUAUAAUAACAGAAUAAUAAGCUGGUCAUAUAAUAAGCUGAAGGUGCAAAACAAAAGCUGUAACCAUUCUCUGUGUGCGGAACAAAGUGAUGUCUGGAUGUUGCUAUCUGACUGGUGCUGUAAUGCUGCCUUGUUUAUUCUAAAUAAACCACAUUGUUGGAA